rnacentral:rRNA from 1 species
UACGUAGGAUGCAAGCGUUGUUCGGAAUUACUGGGCGUAAAGAGUACGUAGGCGGUGACAUAAGUCUGACAUUAAAGACAGAAGCUCAACUUCUGGAAUGUAUCGGAAACUGUGUUACUAGAGGAUAGUAGAGGAAGUCGGAAUUCUCAGUGUAGCGGUGAAAUGCGUAGAUAUUGGGAAGAACACCAGUGGCGAAAGCGGACUUCUGGGCUAUUACUGACGCUGAGGUACGAAAGUGUGGGGAGCAAACGGG